GGUCAAGCUACCAAGGGCGCACGGUGGAUGCCUUGGCACUGAGAGCCGAUGAAGGGCGUAGCAAGCAACGAUACAGCCCCGGGGAGCUGCAAGCAAGCAUAGAUCCGGGGAUGCCCGAAUGGGGAAACCCGGCGCCGGUCACGCGGCGUCGCCCUUAUCUGAACACAUAGGGUAAGGGUCGGUAAGCGAGCGAACUGAAACAUCUUAGUAGCUCGAGGAAAGGAAAGCAACAGCGACUCCCCUAGUAGUGGCGAGCGAACGGGGAUCAGCCCAAACCUGGCGUGUGUAUAGCCCACAUGCGUUGCACGCCGGGGGUCGCGGGAAGGCUCGUGCGGAAGUGUGGUUCCGCUACGGAGUUACAAAACAUCAGUCUAGCAGAACAUGUCUGGAAAGUCGGGCCAUAGCGGGUAAUAGCCCCGUACGCGAAAGACUGGUGUCUCCUAGAGCUUCUCCCAAGUAACACCGGGCACGUGAUAUCCGGUGUGAAUCCAGGGGGACCACCCUCUAAGGCUAAGUACUCUCAGUGACCGAUAGUGGACAAGUACCGUGAGGGAAAGGUGAAAAGCACCCCGGAAGGGGAGUGAAAUAGUACCUGAAACCGUGUGCCUACAACCGGUCGGAGCCCGUUGGCCUUCGGGCCAGGGUGACGGCGUGCCUCUUGCAUAAUGAACCGGCGAGUUAUGGUGUGCAGCAAGGUUAAGCCGUGAACGGCGGAGCCGCAGGGAAACCGAGUCCGAAUAGGGCGAUUGAGUUGCACGCCAUAGACCCGAAACCAGGCGAGCUAUCCAUGGCCAGGGUGAAGCGCAGCUAAUCCUGCGUGGAGGCCCGAACCGCUCGGCGCUGAAAAGCCGUCGGAUGAGCUGUGGAUAGGGGUGAAAAGCCAACCGAGCCUGGCGAUAGCUGGUUCUCCCCGAAAUAGCUUUAGGGCUAGCCUCAGGCGUUCAGUCACGGAGGUAGAGCACUGAAUCGGCUAGGGCCCUUGACAGGGUACCAACCCGAAUCAAACUCCGAAUGCCGUGACUUCAGAGCCUGGGAGUCGGACCGCGAGGGAUAAGCCCCGCGGUCGAGAGGGAAACAGCCCAGACCACCGGCUAAGGUCCCUAAGCUAGGCUAAGUGGUAAAGGAUGUGGAGUUGCUGAAACAGCCAGGAGGUUGGCUUAGAAGCAGCCAUCCCUUUAAAGAGUGCGUAAUAGCUCACUGGUCGAGUGACUCCGCGCCGAAAAUCCAACGGGGCUAAGCCUAGCACCGAAGCCGUGGAAAUCUGGAGUCGGUCAUGACCUAUCCCGACGGUAUCGCUUUUGUCCGUCUUUGCUUCGGCACUGGCGGGGGACUGCGAGCCCCGGGUGUCCGUCGUGAUCAUCAUACUCUGGGUUUGGUAGGGGAGCGUUCCGUAGUAGGAUGAAGGCAGAUCGUAAGGACUGCUGGACGAAUCGGAAGUGAGAAUGCCGGUACGAGUAGCGAAAAGUGAAGUGAGAAUCUUCACCGCCGAAAGCCCAAGGUUUCUUAAGCAAGGUUCGUCCUCUUAAGGUUAGCCGGGCCUAAGCCGAGAGCGAAAGCUGUAGGCGAUGGACAGCCGGUUCAUAUUCCGGCGCCACUGUGCAACGACAAAGUCCCGAUGGGGGGACGCAGGAGGGGCGAUCAACCGCGUGAUUGGUAGAGCGCGGCCAAGCCCGUAGGGGGGCUGGAUAGGCAAAUCCGUCCGGCCUUAACCCCGAGAGGUGAUGGGGAGCCGCUGUAAUGGUGGCGAAGUGGUCAUUCCCAUGCUGCCAAGAAAAGCCUCUAGGGAGUUGCACAGUGCCCGUACCGCAAACCGACACAGGUGGGCGGGGAGAGAAUCCUAAGGCGCGCGAGAGAACCCUCGUUAAGGAAUUCGGCAAAAUCACCCCGUAACUUCGGGAGAAGGGGUGCCCCUGGUUGUGACGCGUCUAGCACGCUGAGCAUCUGGGGGUCGCAGAGAAACGGCGGGAGCGACUGUUUACCAAAAACACAGGUCUCUGCUAAGGCGCAAGCCGAGGUAUAGGGGCUGACGCCUGUCCGGUGCCAUACGGUUAAGGGGAGGGGUCAGGCCGCAUUUAUGUGGCUGAAGCUCUGAACCGAAGCCUUGGUGAACGACGGCUCUAACCAUGAGAGUCCUAUGGUAGCGAAAUUCCUCGUCGGAUAAUACCCGACCUGCACGAAAGGCGUAACGAUUCCUGCGCUGUCUCAACGAGGGACUCGGCGAAACUGUAGCACCAGCGAAGAUGCUGGUUACCCGCAACAAGACGGAGAGACCCCGUGGAGCUUUACUGUAACCUGGUAUUGGAUUUGACUUUGCGGUGUAGAGCAUAGGUGGGAGGCUUUGAAGCGAGCUCGCCAGGGCUCGUGGAGCCACCGUUGGAAUACCACCCUCCGCAAGGUUGGAAUUCUAACCUGAACCGUUAUCCGGUUUGGAGACAGUAUCAGGUGGGCAGUUUGACUGGGGCGGUCGCCUCCUAAAAGGUAACGGAGGCGUACAAAGGUUCCCUCAGCGCGGUUGGAAAUCGCGCGAAGAGCAUAAGGGUAUAAGGGAGCUUAACUGCGAGACCCACAAGUCGAGCAGAUGCGAAAGCAGGUCCUAGUGACCCCGCGGUUCCGAGUGGAAGGGCCGCCGAUCAACGGACAAAAGUUACCCCGGGGAUAACAGGCUAAUUCCGCCCGCGCGUUCACAGCGACGGCGGAGCUUGGCACCUCGAUGUCGGCUCGUCACAUCCUGGGGCUGAAUUCGGUCCCAAGGGUUGGGCUGCUCGCCCAUUAAAGUGGUACGCGAGCUGGGUUCAGAACGUCGUGAGACAGUUCGGUCCCUAUCUGUUGCGGGCGUUGGAAACUUGAGGGGAGCUGCCCCCAGUACGAGAGGACCGGGGCGGACAGACCUCUGGUGUACCUGUUGUCGCGCCAGCGGCAUAUGCAGGGUAGCUACGUCUGGAGUGGAUAAGCGCUGAAAGCAUCUAAGCACGAAGCCCACCCCAAGACUAGGUUUCCUCGAGGUUCGACCUGUAAGGGCCCUGGUAGACUACCAGGUUGAUAGGCCGGGAGUGUAAGGGCAGCAAUGUCUUCAGCUUACCGGUACUAAUCGCCCGAGCGCUUGCCAC
rnacentral:rRNA from 1 species